rnacentral:lncRNA from 1 species
CUGAAAGUGCAAUGAAGCAGCAAUGAUUUUCCAGCAUUCUUAUGUGUUCAAAACCAUGUAAGAUCUUGUCCAUCUCUGCUGACCUCUAUCUGCCUUGGUCCUGACAGAAAGAACUGCCAAACCAGAAUUGUUUUAAUUGUCUGUUGAAAAAAAUUUUUACCCUGCAAUCUUAAUUCCUUUUUGAAUCUUUUUCUCUCUUUCUUUAUGUCAGUACUUAUGCCCAGUGAAGUAUGAAUAAGUAUUGGUAUAGUGAACAUGAAAUUGCUGAUACUACUAGCAAUCCAUUUAUGAAAUAAAGUAAAUUUAUAAUUUUGGACA